UUACAGCCAUAUCACAUUGAAACCCCAGUACUCAUAUGAUAACUGAAGUUAAGCAAUGUUGAGCCUGGUCAGUACCUAGAUGGGUGACAGCUUGGUAAUACCAGGUGCUGCAAG